rfam:Schistosoma curassoni strain Dakar, Senegal genome assembly, scaffold: SCTD_scaffold0012161
GUAUUGAUGAGGAGUCCCAUACUAGGACGAAACGGCCGUCCGGUGC